CAACACUGGGGAGCCUCGUAUACAGCGCCUUUAGAUCUUACUGGGCCUUGUAUAUGCUACAGUAACGCCAGUUUUACUUCCAUUCAUAAUUGUUUUCUUUGGCCUGGCUUAUGUUGUGUUCCGUCAUCAGAUCAUAAAUGUUUACAACCAGCAAUAUGAAAGUGCUGCAGCAUACUGGCCUGAUGUCCAUGGUCGCAUUCUGUCUGCAUUGCUUAUCUCUCAGCUGGUUCUAUUGGGAUUGUUGAGUACCAAAAAAGCUGCUCUGUCUACACCAUUUCUUCUUGCACUUCCAGUAUUGACCAUAGCGUUCUAAGUAUUGCCAAGGUCGUUUUGAACCUGCAUUUGUUAGAUAUCCAUUACAGGAAGCAAGGAUGAAAGAUAAUCUGGAACAAGUAAGAGAACCAAACUUGAACUUGAUAGGCUACCUCCAAAGCGCAUAUGU